AUUAUUUUGGCAGAUUAGUGCAAUGAAUUUAGAAUUCAUAUAUGUAAAUUUUUAC
rnacentral:tRNA from 1 species